AGCCUCCCAAUUCUUAGCACAGGCUGUGUUCUUUACACUGAUUGUAUAGAAAGAGGAGGUACAGUAAAUGCACCUCAUAUACACCGUAACACAGGUCCUUUGCCUGGUCUGUAUUGUGAAUUGGGGGUCAAAA